UGGUUCUAUCUUACUAUUAAA
rnacentral:piRNA from 1 species